CGUGUGCUCCUCCGAUCUAAAACAAUUCUAUAUAGAAUGGGUUGGGAAUUAUGCCUAGAUCCCGUGUAAAUGGAAAUUUCAUUGAUAAGACCUCCUCAAUUGUAGCCAAUAUUUUAUUGCGAAUAAUUCCGACAACCUUAAGAGAAAAAAAGG